AUCCAGAUGAUGAGUUCCAAAUAGGACGAAAUACUCAUUAUCCUGGAU
rfam:Trichobilharzia regenti genome assembly, scaffold: TRE_scaffold0002652